AUUAAUUAGUACUUUUUUACUUUUAAGGUAUAUCAAACUAAACAUUAAAAUUCAUUUCAGAUCAAUCAAUGCCAAACCCACCAAAAUGCUGAGCAGAAAGCCGACGAAAAUCCGACUCCAAAUCGAAGACAAAGAAGAACUCGAAGAAGCUCGCAAACGCACCUCCGCCAACACAUCAACAUCCACAUCCACUACCGCCACCACUUCUCUCUUUCAACUCCUCGACCGCCAGCAAACCAACCCCUCCGUCAAGACCCACAUCGGUUUCUCCCCUUGAAUCUUUAUGGAAGUAGAGGUGAAAUUGGGUCUCCUUAAUGCACUCAUCUACGCCCGCCUAAAUCCCCUUCCUUCUUCAUUUCACCUCAAAACCCUUCACCAGCAAAAUCUCUUCUUUGAUUCUGACGCUGCCACUCUUUCCUCUCAACGUGCUGUUACAAUGACUCGCGUUGUGUUCUCUCCCUCAAGGCCAAGUCAAUUCUAAUUAAUGGUGUCAGCCGUGUCGAGGAAGAUGAACUCAAUGAUCGGCCUUAUGGGCAUUCUGGUCACUUAUUUUGACUCUAUUGAUCGACCUUCAGUUUGACCUCAGCCAUUGGACUUUGCUGUCAAUGUCCCCUUGCCAACAUAGAUAUCACUGUAAUCUCAAGUCUGUACUUACUCUCAUCCUUAAAUUGUUCAGUACUGUAAAGAAAGCUGUUCAUCUAGUAGUUUUGCAUCUAAGGUUUCUUGAAUUGUAGAUUGCUGUAAA